rnacentral:rRNA from 1 species
AUUGAACGCUGGCGGCAGGCUUAACACAUGCAAGUCGAGCGGAGAUGAGGUGCUUGCACCUUAUCUUAGCGGCGGACGGGUGAGUAAUGCUUAGGAAUCUGCCUAUUAGUGGGGGACAACAUUCCGAAAGGAAUGCUAAUACCGCAUACGUCCUACGGGAGAAAGCAGGGGAUCUUCGGACCUUGCGCUAAUAGAUGAGCCUAAGUCGGAUUAGCUAGUUGGGGGGGUAAAGGCCUACCAAGGCGACGAUCUGUAGCGGGUCUGAGAGGAUGAUCCGCCACACUGGGACUGGGAGACGGCCCAGACUCCUACGGGAGGCAGCAGUGGGGAAUAUUGGACAAUGGGGGGAACCCUGAUCCAGCCAUGCCGCGUGUGUGAAGAAGGCCUUAUGGUUGUAAAGCACUUUAAGCGAGGAGGAGGCUACUGAGACUAAUACUCUUGGAUAGUGGACGUUACUCGCAGAAUAAGCACCGGCUAACUCUGUGCCAGCAGCCGCGGUAACAC